GGUGCAGUUACCGUAUGAUUCGGUUCUUCUAUUGUGAGUCUCGAUAGAAUUGAGGUAAGAUAAACUCAUCAAACCUCAUGAUAUCUGUCAUAUGAUAGAAUUAAUCAAUUCGAGUCUGAUGUAAAAUUUAAUAGAAUUUUUUUUUCUAUCUUUCACAUUGCCAUGGCCAUAGGCUUUUAAACUUAAUCUCAUUAUCUACAUAAAACUACUCCUCCUCUAUCGAGAUCGAUAGAUUCCAUCUUGGUACAAUCCAAUUUCUAAUAAAUAUACUGCAACCAACAUAUACUUUAAGACUCCAUAUGGCUAAG
rnacentral:lncRNA from 1 species